rnacentral:rRNA from 1 species
GACGAACGCUGGCGGCGUGCUUAACACAUGCAAGUCGAACGGAAAGGCCCUGCUUUGGUGGGGUGCUCGAGUGGCGAACGGGUGAGUAACACGUGAGUAACCUGCCCGUGACUUUGGGAUAACUUCAGGAAGCUGGGGCUAAUACCGGACAGGAGCUCCUGCUGCAUGGUGGGGGCUGGAAAGUUUCGGCGGUUGGGGAUGGACUCGCGGCUUAUCAGCUUGGGGGGGGGGUAGUGGCUUACCAGGGCCUUGCAGGGUAGGCGGCCUGAGAGGGUGACCGGCCACAAUGGGCCUGCGGUACGGCGCAGACUCGUACGGGAGGCAGCAGUGGAGAACAUGGCACAAUGGGCGCGCGUCUGAUGCAGCAACGCUCCGUUCGGGAUGACGGCCUUCGGGUUGUAAAACGCUUUCGCCUGUGACGAAGCGUGAGUGACGGUAAUGGGUAAAGAAGCACCGGCUAACUACGUG